GAUGAAGAACGUAGCGAAAUGCGAUAAGUAAUGUGAAUUGCAGAAUUCAGUGAAUCAUCGAAUCUUUGAACGCACAUUGCGACCGCCAGUAUUCUGGCGGGCAUGCCUGUCUGAGCGUCAUUUCAACCCUCAAGCAACUUCUGCUUGGUGUUGGGGAUCGGCCGUUAAACGCCGCCCCCGAAAUCUAUUGGCGAUCUCGCUGUAGCUUCCUAUGCGUAGUAGUAACAUCUCGCAUCUGGAGAGCGGCGCGGUCAUGCCGUAAAACACCCAACUUCUCAGGUUGACCUCAGAUCAGGUAGGAAUACCCGCUGAACUUAAGCAUAUCAAUAAGCGGAGGA
rnacentral:misc_RNA from 1 species